CCUACGGGAGGCAGCAGUCGAGAAUCAUUCACAAUGGGGGAAACCCUGAUGGUGCGACGCCGCGUGGGGGAAUGAAGGUCUUCGGAUUGUAAACCCCUGUCAUGUGGGAGCAAAUUAAAAAGAUAGUACCACAAGAGGAAGAGACGGCUAACUCUGUGCCAGCAGCCGCGGUAAUACAGAGGUCUCAAGCGUUGUUCGGAAUCACUGGGCGUAAAGCGUGCGUAGGCUGUUUCGUAAGUCGUGUGUGAAAGGCGCGGGCUCAACCCGCGGACGGCACAUGAUACUGUGAGACUAGAGUAAGGGAGAGGGUAGCGGAAUUGUGGGUGUAGCAGUGAAAUGCGUAGAG
rnacentral:rRNA from 1 species